UUUUUGAACGUGUUUUGCAGUUAGAUCCUGAAAAUGUUGAAGCUCUUGUUGCACUCGCGAUAAUGGAUCUGCGCACUAAUGAAGCUGCUGGAAUUAGGAAGGA